rnacentral:rRNA from 1 species
AGUGAACGCUGGCGGUAGGCCUAACACAUGCAAGUCGAACGGCAGCACAGUAAGAGCUUGCUCUUACGGGUGGCGAGUGGCGGACGGGUGAGGAAUACAUCGGAAUCUACUUUUUCGUGGGGGAUAACGUAGGGAAACUUACGCUAAUACCGCAUACGACCUACGGGUGAAAGCAGGGGAUCUUCGGACCUUGCGCGAUUGAAUGAGCCGAUGUCGGAUUAGCUAGUUGGCGGGGUAAAGGCCCACCAAGGCGACGAUCCGUAGCUGGUCUGAGAGGAUGAUCAGCCACACUGGAACUGAGACACGGUCCAGACUCCUACGGGAGGCAGCAGUGGGAAAUAUUGGACAAUGGGCGCAAGCCUGAUCCAGCCAUACCGCGUGGGUGAAGAAGGCCUUCGGGUGGUAAAGCCCUUUUGUUGGGAAAGAAAAGCAGCAGGUUAAUACCCCGCUGUUCUGACGGUACCCAAAGAAUAAGCACCGGCUAACUUCGG